rnacentral:rRNA from 1 species
AGAACGAACGCUGGCGGCAUGCCUAAUACAUGCAAAUCGAACGAACACUUCGGUGUUAGUGGCGCACGGGUGCGUAACGCGUGGGAAUCUGCCCUUGGGUUCGGAAUAACAGUUGGAAACGACUGCUAAUACCGGAUAAUGACGAAAGUCCAAAGAUUUAUCGCCCAGGGAUGAGCCCGCGUAGGAUUAGCUAGUUGGNGAGGUAAAGGCUCACCAAGGCGACGAUCCUUAGCUGGUCUGAGAGGAUGAUCAGCCACACUGGGACUGAGACACGGCCCAGACUCCUACGGGAGG